AAAAAAGCAGGGGUCUGUUGCCUGUGUGAACAGGUCUCUCGUAAACUUCAGGGAAAUCAGUUUCAUUGUUAUUGGGUGAACCUCUGUUUUUUUUCUGUGGCUGAAGGUUCAGUAAACGAUGGCACAUUU
rfam:Populus trichocarpa isolate Nisqually-1 chromosome 10, whole genome shotgun sequence.